CCUGCUUGUCUGAUGUUGAAGAUUUAUGUUUUGUUUCAUUAUUGAUGCUGUGAAUACCAGGUGAUAGUUUCUGUCGAAGCACUCCAAAUCGAUUUCGAAAUAAUAUGGACUUAUCCCAUGUUAGGGGCUUAGUGAAUCCAUCAGCAAUUUGAUGGGAUAUCACAAUAACCUGACCAGCAACAAGUUUUCUCUGGUAAAAUGAAUAUCAAGCUCUAAGCGAUAAGUUUUUGAAGCUAAUAUGAUUGUGCUAGUGUUAUCAGACAAAAUUACUGGUUUGAACUGAGAUUGCACACCAAGUUCUGAGAUUAAGGCUUUGAUCCAGAGAACUUCUUGAAUGACAUCUGCCAAGCUGCGCUAUUCAGCCUCCGUCACGGAUCACGAUACUAUUAGAGCUCCAUGCUGCCAGAUUUCCUCCUAAAAACACACAGUAGCCCGUAGUAGAUCGUCUAUCAUCUAUUGCACUACCCCAAUCUGCAUCUGAAAAAACUGUGAGCAUUUGAUGUCCUGCUGGAGGGUAGAGCAAACCAUAGUCCAGUUUGCCUCUCAGGUAGCAUAAGAUUUGUUUAAUAGCUAUCCAGUGUUUGUCAAGAGGAUUUUGUAGGAACUGGCUAACCUUGUUGACACUAAAUGCAAUAUCUGGCCGGGCGAAGCCCCCGUACUGAGGAGCUCUAACAAUGCUCCGAUAUUCUUUCGGGUGCUCAUGAGGAACCCAUCAGUAAGAGGCAAUGGUGGAGGUCCAACAUUGGUGUAGAAGUGGAGUGUGACACAAACAUGUUUGCCUUGAGUAGAAUCUCAAUGAUAUACUUCUUUUGAUUAAGAAGAAGUUGGUUACCAAUUCUGUGAAUUUCGAUUCCUAGAAAAAGGGAAGUAAUCCUAGAUCCUCGAGUGAGAACUUCAAAUGAAGAAGAUCAAUCAGUUCUUCAAUAAAGCAAUUGUUGUUGCUUGUGAUUAUGAUGGCAUCAACGUAGACAACUAGAUAUGUGAAACUCAGGUUGCUAUUUAGGUUUUUGGUUGGUCAAGGUCAAAUCGUUCAUCCUUCCAAUUGAAAUAGUUUCUCAUUGCUUUCUAUUUUGCAUUGUGUAGUCUCUCAUCCUGACACCAGAAUGUUGUUACUUAAUGGUAAAGAUUCUCUUCCUUUUAUUUAAAGCUUUCUUAUCUGUUUGUCAAUGACAAUAAGCUUGGCCUUUCUGAUAUACAAAGAAGCCUUUUCUGACAUGCUUUUAGGUGGAAUGUCAUUGGAAAGCUAGAAUAUUGUUGCGUAUGUUGAUUUGCUUCUUUUCCCAUAACAAUUGACACGGACACAAAAAUCUCAGCACUCCUCAUAGUUCCAUCUCUUAUUCCAUAGGCACUCUUUAUUUUCUUGUCAAAAGGAAUUAUACAGACACAAAGUCAGAGAAUAAGAUCCAAUUAGUAUCAAAUUGAUGUCACUUUGCAUUCGUUUGAUAAAUCCUUGGAGGAGAAUUGAAAUUUAAUUUACAUAUGAAAACAUUAUACUUGGAUUUAUCUUAUCCAUUGCUUAUGAUAUUUGGUUUCCCUAGAACAAAUCCUUCUGAUAGUUUCUAUUUGCAGCAAAUAUUCCUAAACAUCUGUGCCCUUUUCUUGUUACAACAAGCAAGUCUAGACCUUUUAAAUUCUUGUUACAACAAGCAAGUCUAGACCUUUCAAAUAUUUGAGGCUUGCUAGCUUGAAUGUCAUUGGUGCCCUCGUGAAAUAGUAAAGUCUACGGUAUUUCAUGCGUCUCUUUUCUACUUUCAUCGUUCAUAUAAAGAUUUCAUUCAUGAUCACAUCUAGUGGGAAUGACCAAGGUCUUAUAAAGAUUUCACUGAUGAAUCCCUAAUGUUGAUUUGCUAUUCCUUGGGAAUCAGUUAUGUGUCAAGCCUCAUAUAGUAUCCUUCCAAGCUUCAAGGUCUUAUGUUCUAACCUUUUUGUGACUCCUCCCUGUGUAAUGAUUGUGGUGAUGAGUAAAUGUUUCUUGUUGAUGGAAGAUUAUAGUAUGCUUGUUUUAGAUAAGGCCAUAAGUGUGAAGUAAGAUCUGGGGCCAAGUCUUUGAUACAUGUGAUGGUUAGUUGAAAUUUGUGUGUGUAUGUUCUUGGGGUAGCAAGUGGAAGUUGUAUUGGUAGUGGUUUCGGGAAUAUAUAAAGUAUGUCUCUAUAGGUGUUUGCCUUGAAGUUCAUAUAUGGUUGUAAAAAUAGGCUUGAACGACAUGUUGGGAUUUAAGUGGAGGAACGCAAUAUGCGCUAUUGAAUCCAUAGUAAGAGAUCAGAGUUAAGUCAUUGAAGUGUUAAGGCACGAUAUGCGUAGGGUGUGAACUUUAAAAAGAUAUAGAAGGUUGAAUAAUAUGGUUUGGACUAGUAUCGUAGUGAGGCAUGUUGUAUUUUUUGAUUUAGAGUUAGGCUUGAUCACGGUGAAAGGAUUGAAGCUACUUUAGACAUUAGUAGAAAGAUUUAUCGAUGCCCAUAUCAGGAUUACAAUUUGAAACGACGAGUAUGUUAUUUAAGAAGAAUAGUAUAGUUGAGGAAUAUUCGAGAAGUGUGCUAAGCUUGAAAGUAAGAAGUUGCAUUGCCUAAGGCCUGGUAAUUCUAUCCUAGUUAUGAGUUAUAUGUCUAUAUUCCAUGCUAUAGAGUAGUGUCAUUNNNNNNNNNNNNNNNNNNNNNNNNNNNNNNNNNNNNNNNNNNNNNNNNNNNNNNNNNNNNNNNNNNNNNNNNNNNNNNNNNNNNNNNNNNNNNNNNNNNNNNNNNNGCCAAUAUAACCAGCAAUUCAGUUUAACAGUCAGGCAGACUGUGAUUUUCCACCUUUUUCACCUAGUUCUGUUAUCCGAAGUCUCAUGCGUAUGACCAUCCCAAAGAGAUGAUCUAUUCCAUCUGUGAAAAUUGCGAAUUCAGUUCAAUCCAAGCAUCAUGACCCAUCCUCAAGAGAUAAUCUAUUCCAUCCAUGAAAAUUGCGAAUUCAGUUCGGUCCAAGCAUCAUAUUUCAGAUUCAACUAUUUAGUCAUGACUCAGUUCAUAAGAGUUCAGCGCAUAAUCUCAAAUUAUUCCAAAUAUUUUAGCUCAGACAGUGUAAUACCUUUGUACAAUCUAAGUCUUGUUGUCUUAUGAUUCGUACUUGCAAAAGUUAUAACUUCAAAAUUCAAUAUAUAUAUGAUUGGGUCAUGAACAUUUCAAGGGAAUCCUAAACUUUUAGCACGAAUCAGCUUUUUGAAGCAAGAAAAGUCAAGUCAGCUCAGAAUUCAGUUUCAUGAUAAAGUUAAAAUGUUUCAACUCGCCUAUAUCCUUUUCUAAAAGACAUAUCAUGUCCUCGUUAUUCCAUACCUUAAAGACUUCAACAUUCCUACUCAUCAUUCGAGGACGAAUGAUCCCAAGUGGGAGAUAAUGUAACACCCCACAAUUCGAGCUAGAAUGAAAAUCAUCAUUUCUAUGAGUAAAUGAUCCAAAAGCCAUAAAUCUUAUGCAAAUUUGGCAUGUUAAUCAAUUAUAUACUGUGGGAACCUAGUUGAGUAUGAAUUGAGAUGAUAGAGGUCCCCAAACUCAAGAACGAGUUGAAAACUUUCCUAUCGUUCGAGUUUGAGUGAGCGUCGAAACAUAGGUCAACUUCAAUCGGUCAUAACACUUUAUAUAUAACGAAUUAGAGGGCCUACUAUAUAUCAAAUGAAAUCUCUUCGAAUUAUCUUUCCAACGAUACCAAUUUCAUCAAAUUUCGAUAACCAAGAGAAAAGUUAUGCCAUCAGAAGCAGUGAGGGGUCGUGAUAGACCCGCAAUGCGAGUUUUGCUUGACCUGAAUAGGGGUCGCAUCGCGAGGGCUAAUUAACCCAAUUAGGGGUCGCGACGCGGGGCCUAUUCCCGCACAGUUUUAGCUUCUUAAGGAUCAAGGGUCAUUUUAGUCCUUUCCCCUCAACCCCAAUCGUUAAAAACACCAAAAUUUAGUCCCCAAUUCACCAAAAAUACUCUUUUCUCCAAUUUCCCUCAAGAACUAACCCUUAAGGUCUCAACCAAAAUAUCAGAAUCCCUCAAGAUUCAACCGUGGGUUUUAGAGAUUGAUUGAAGAUUUGAAAUCCCCAAACCGUAGGCUUCAAGAAUCAUCCAUUAUUCUCCUUAAUCGAGGUACGCGGGGUUUUCCUAAAAUCUCAUGGGCAUAGAAAUCAUAUCUUAAGAAAAAGGGUUUUGGAAUUAUGAAUGUAUUCAUGUUUUAGAAGUUUUGACGGUAUUGUUUUGGUCUUUAGACCUUCCCCCAAAUUGUUUGGAAAAUUAUAUAUAUAUAUAUAUAUGAAUGUGUUUAACGAUGAAUAUUCAAUUGAGAGCAUGAAUUAUGAUAAACCCCUCUCUUGUUGUGAUUUCUCUCAUCUUUCAUAUGAUAUGAAUUGUUCUAAAUUGCAUCUUGAAAAGCAUGUUAUGAAAUGUCUUGAAUAAUGUUGUAUUUGAAUUAUGAUUUCGAUUUCAAAAGAAAGAGGGUUGUUCACGUUGAUUAAUGUUGAAAAUAUUCAUAUAAUGAAAGGGUGCAUGAUUUUUCCAAAAGCACAAGACCAUUAUAUAUUUGAAUAAUCACAGCAAAGUUUUAUACUGUUUGCAUGUUUGGGUGGUCUGAAAUGUGUUUUAAUGAAAGAACUAUGCAUGUCGCAUUAUGGCUCAGAAAUAGGACUUGCAAGUCUUGGUGUGACGACACCAAUUCAGAUUAUGCCAUGAUAAUUCAAAACAGAAUAGAAUGCAUGUUUGAAAUCAGAUUUUCAGAUUAUGAAUUCAGAAAGAUGCUUGUUUAGAAAACGUUUAAAAAUGGGCUUAAAGAGAGUUAGAUGGUUACCCGAAGAAAGUACGAGUUGAAAGACUAUACUAGAAACCGUGAUUUGCCGACACGGAAUUAUGGUACCAUGCUUUGUGAUCUUGUGUACCUUAAUUCAUGUCAUCCCAAAUUGGGACUAUGGAAGGCCUCUACUGAAGAUAGGUCGCCAAACUACGACCGAGAGUUUCGCCUUUUGAAGCGCCAAUUGCGUAUGGCGACCGAGCCAGGCCGAGUCAGAAAGGCUUUGAUGACUCAAGGUUCAUAUUAGGGAAAGGAGAGUGAGGGGAAGAGGGGGCAGCCCUCGACUCGAUCAUCCAGUUCGCUCCAACAGACAGGCAUGGUUCUGUAGUCAAAGCCAUAACUGAAAGGCGCUAGACGGACUAAGGGCAAGCGAGAUAAAGAAAGCAGCUGGCCCUAUGUGUAAAACCUUGCCGCAGGAGAGUCUUUCUACCAUGAGAAUAAAGAAAGUUUUUGGGCAAGACAAAGGAACUCGCCUUUUGACACUAAGGGAUAAGAGCUGAUUGCUUUGUGACUAUGGUUAGGAGCCCUACUUUGUGAUCUUGGGCACUAUCAUGACAUGUUGAUUUGAUUGGGGAUUUUGGCACCCUGCCGUGUGAUCUUGAUAUCCCCCUUGUAGAUACUCCAAUCCUUGCGGCAAACUUGGACUGGGGGCUUGGCCGCCGAGUCGAGGACGGCUUCCAUAUAGCUCGUGGAAUUACAGAUUGUAGGGUGUACCAUCUAGCUAAGAAGUAAGACAAAGAGUGAGUCAUGAUUUCAAAUAAAUGUUUCAAAGUCUUUAAAAUAUGCCAAUGUGUUUUCAUAUACUAUAUGUAAAAUGUUUUAUGAAUUGCUCUUCAUUAUUUUAUUUAUAUAAAGCUUUAUUUUGGAUUGCUUUGUGUACCAGUACAUCUGUAUUGACCCCCCCUCCAGGUUCUGAGACAUAGUCAAGGGGUCCUGAUAAGCAGUAGGUUUCAUCAGAUAGGAGUGAAAAGUACCAGUUGGUGAGCCUUCUAUAUUUCAGAAGGCCUAGUUUCUUUCAGACAGUUAUUAUUUAUUAUGGUUUUGGUCGACUGGGGGCCUUGUCCCAGUUUUCCGACAGUUGUUAUUUGAUCAUGUAGCAGAGAUUCCGCAGAUGAUUUUUCAGAAAGCGUUUAGUUGAAAUUUGAUUUUAUUCCUCAUUCUUAAACUAAAUUUAGAUUAUGACCAUGUUUCCGUAGCAGAUUUUAUUUCCGCAUUUCCUAUUUAUAUAUGAAUGGUGUAUAUGAUUGCAAGUUAUAAGGGCUCUCGGGCCUUCAUGGUUCGGGAUGUCCAUCACGGCCAGGCCAUAGUUCGGGUCGUGACACUUUUUUUUUCUUUCCACUUUAUUUUGACUCUCUUAUUUCUCUUCACUUUUAUCCUUUUUUUGGUUUUUUCUUUUCCGUAUUUUUCUUUUUCUUUUCCUAUUUUCAUUUUCUUCCUCUUUUUUCUAUUUUUAUUUCUUUUUUUUUCAUUUAUUUUUACAAUUAUAUUUCUAGCUUUUAUUUCUCUCUUUUUUCUAUUUUCACUUCUUUUUCAUUGGAUUUUUAUUUUUUGUUUUUUUUGUUUUUCUACUUUGAUUUUUUUCAUUUUUUACUCAUCUAUAUCUAGCUUUUAUUUUUUAGAAGACAACAUAUUCAAAAAAAUAUAUACAAAUUAAGAAAAACUACUCUAUUCUCAUCUUACAAAAGUGUAAAGACUGCAUUAACAUGAUCUUCCCACUAAACUUGUCAAUAGCACUUACGUGCUAGAAAAAAAAGAGUUAUCAUGUCUAAAUAUUUAUAUUAAUACUUUUUUUUUUUAAAUUGCCAUCAAUUAAUUCAAAUCAUCAAGCUCAUAACUCAUAAGAGAUCUCUUAGACGUAAAACAAAAUAAAUUCAUACAAAUCUCAAAAUACCUCCGGUCGGAUGAAUGGAGGACCGACCGACCCGGGUUUUCAAGAGCGUUGGCAGGUUCUGAAGAGCCUGUCAAGGGCACUAGCACAUUCCCCGGAGUGAUCAUCACCACCUGCACCUCACAUCUCGGCACAGUGGAACGUGUAACCCGACUGUUAUUCCAUUCAACUACAUUUGUUCCUUUAAUCCAUAGCAAUAAAGAACGCAACAGCGAGGAAGAAACCGCCCAUACAGCCAAAGGGGAGGAUGGCACAACUGGCAAAGACCGUCUGGCGAAAACGCCGCAAGCGCGAAGCGUGGUACAACAAUAGAGAAAGAUUCUAACUUCACUUGCUGCCUUUAUGCUAAAGAUCUUGCCAAUUAAUAAAUAGUUCUUUUUAAAUAAAGAUGAUAAAAACUUACAAGGUCUUGCUUAGCGCUACUAAGCACGGUUACGCCUUCCUAAGCCUUGAUAAGCCUAACCUUAUAAAGUUACGCUAAGCGCGGCUAAGCCUCAUUUAAAGGGCUAUUUUCUUAUACAAAAUCACCUUCUUAUUUUCGUAAUUCCAAAUUUUAAGCGUCAUUAAUUAAUUCUAAUCAUGGAGAUCACAACUCAUAAAAGACCCAUUAGACUUGAAAAAAAAUAAACUCAUACAGGAUCUUAGAAACUUUUCUGGUAACAAUUGUUAAUUAAUGAUUCAUCGAGUUUUAGUUAGGAAUUAAUCGGUUAUACUCCUAAUAUUCUCCAAUUCUACAAAUGAACAUGAUCAAACUUUUCUACGUCUUGCUUAUCCCUAUUAAGCACGGUUAAUCCCUGCUGAGCUUCGUCAAUCCUAGACUCACUAGGCCACAUUAAGCCAAGCUAAGCCUUGGUAAGCCUAGUAAAAAUAGAAGGCUCUAAGGUUAGGGCUCAAGGCUCAUGGGUCGGGGUUAGGCUCGGAGUUGGAGGCGCAAGAUUCAUAGAGACUCAGGGGUUUAGGUUUUUGAUUUCGGGUUUAGAAUUAAGUUUUAUUAGGGUUCUGAGUUUGUGUCCCGCCGUAUAAUACUUUUAUGUUACAGUCUAUCUCGAAAGAAGAGGUGUUAUAUUAAACUAGGGGACCCUAUACUCUACAUCACAUUAAAAAAUCACCUAACCUCAUCACUAUAAUCCAACAACCUCAAGUCUUAAUUCAAAGAAUAUUAACCACAUGACACAUUGGUUUGUGGUUUCAUCAAUCACAAAAUUCAAGCCUACCACUACUAUACCCUACUUCAUGGAUCUCUCCACUAAGACCAACAAAUUCAAUCAUUCUCGCAAAGAUUCUCGCCAUAUACUUCCCUCCUAACUAUUUCACGUAAAGAAUAUUCAUCUCCUUCCUCCUCCUGCCCCUUUAACCUUAGCUCAAGAAAUCUCAUAAAAAAAUUUCACCUACAACAACAUCUACUCCCUAAACUAACACAUUUCUACGCUUCCACAACCAUCAUCAUACUAACAUACAAAGGGUAAUUAAAGGACCUGAGCACAAUCAUCAUGAAAAAGAGUAGCAGUGUUCAGUUAUAACAUAUACUUAUUACACUAUUCAAGGUGGGACAUGAGUUAAAGAUAUGAUACAAUCACGGAGUAUUUCAUAUAUCAAGUGUAUGAUUCACAAGUGGAGAGUGGUUCUGGCAUAAGCUCAGCGUAACUCGAGUUCUUAGGACAACCACAGUGAGAAACAUGAGAGCUUACAUCACGAGUCUUAUAACAAGUGUGGAAUUCCUGAAGACGAUGAUUUAGAAAAGGACUUCUACUCGAAGCUAUAACUUCUCAUUUUUAGAGCUGAAAUAGUCAUGAGUUCGUACAACUUUAUCAUUUUGGCUAACCCCGACAUAAAAUGAAUCAUUAACAUACGAAACAUAGUUCCUUAAAACCAAGUAUGAUUUUGGACACAAAUUUAUGGAUCAUGUACCUCAUAACAUAGAGUUUGGAUACUUGAAAUAUAGGAUCACUGAGUGACAUUAUUGCUUCUAAUUUGAGGUCGGAACAUGACAUGAGUUUCAUAGAGUGCUCAAACCUCAAACAUAGGCCGAACUUAACUACAUAAAACAUUGGUAGGUGUUAAUUCAAACCGAAGGAGGAGGAGCUUGCUUGAAUAUGAAUUGAUUUAUCAAGCCUCUUACAAGAAACUUAACACCACAAGAAAAUUUGGGAACUACUUUAAUCUAUCAUCUCCCCCAUAGAUAAAAGUUACAUUUGUAAAUUUGUCGUCAUAUCUUCACAUCAAAAUCUAUAGCCACAACUCUCAAAAAGAUAUCUCACCAUACACAUAAGCGCUAAACUCUCUGAUAAACUAUACUCUGAAGGCCUCGCUUUUCGAAAGUGCUACUCUAUAGCCAUCACUCUACAACUCCCACUCUCAUGAGCAUACGCCUCCACACUCCAUAUCAUAAAGGGGUCCCAGAAUACAUAUGAACACAAACUCCCCUCCAUAAAUUUUUUUAUACAAAGACACUAAUUCAUUCUCGGACAUCCCUUUCAGGUACACUAAUCGUAACAUCCUAAAACACCCAAAGUCAUCUAUUUAUGGCUAACGUUAGUCCAUCCACGCUUCUAGACACACACAACACUUCAUCUUCAACUGCUUAGAAUACUUUGCAUUAUACCUCUAAUCAUGUAACUUGCAACUUAGCAUUAUACCCAUAUUUCCUCAAUUCAACUCUAAAUAACGCUAUACAACAACUCCUCAGACUUCUUCAUACCACAAGAUUCGAGAAUGAAAUAUAAAUACACGUGACACUCAUACACAUCACCCUUUAUCUAAUAACUUGCUACCUUGGGGUUCAACUUAUUCAUUUAUACUUAGGAUCUUAUCCACUUAAUGACUCAACCACAAUUCAUCAUUUUUGUAUACUAAUCCUCAUGUACAUAAAUAUCACAGUUAUCCAAUCUUUUUUCCAUAAGUUGCCAACCUAAGUUAUUUCACACCUCACAUCAAGCCUACUAAUUCAUUCCCACAAAUCAUGCAUUAAGAAUCUUGAGCUGUAAUUCUUAUUACUACAGUCCACAUCUAAAGUUCAAGCCUAUUGUCUAACAACACCAAUCAUAUGAUACAUGUCACAUACUAUACUAAUCAAUCGAAUAGAAAUAUCAACACAAGUCUCAUAUUUCACUAGUCUAUGGCCCAUAAGUCAAUCCUCUCCACGACAUUACCACUAAACCUCCAAAUCUACUACAUACCUUCUCACACGUACUACGAAUUUACAACUACUAAAGAAAAGACAAAUCAAGGGGGAGGAAGGGGGGGUAAGAUCACAUAAUGAAGGUAGUAGAUCUUAAUCUUAUAUCAUAACCCAUUACGAUCUUAUCAACAUAUUCUAUUUUCUCACAUCAUAGUUUCCUAUACAUGCAUGCAUUACAACUAACUUCAAAAUUCCAUAUACAACAAUGAGUCUAUACUCGUAACUUAUUGGCUAAUCUCACCAUUUCCAAUCACAGUCUAUAUGUGAUUUCCAUAACCACCAUAACUAUCCACUCUAGGCUCUAUCCAUAUUCAGAAUAGAUAAUAAUAAUAGCCAAACACUUCCUCCAAAAACUACCAUACGAUCUACUAAUGCUGCUACCACACUAGUCUAUCACAAUAAAAUGACAAAUCAUCCCUGUAUCAACGGUUAUACAAGUAAAACUAUUUAUUUACUCAAAAAUCACACUCUGACUUCUAACCUUGUGACUUCAUAUCACCAACGUCUUGCCCCAACCUCACUACUAAUAGGUCAUGACACUUUAACAUAUACUACUACUCGGGUGAAAAUACGGUUCUAACAUUCUUCUAUACAUCAUUACCCUUAUACAUGACAUUUGCAACAAGAAUUUUAAUAGAGACUGGAUACACUUAAUACAUUGGGCUGAAAAGCACGAUUUCAUCAGGAUCAAAGUUUACACUAAAACCAAUACACCUUUAAGCACGAACGGACUCCUCUCAAGUCCGUAGGCAAUUUCAU
rnacentral:lncRNA from 1 species